CCACGCUGGUUUUUUAUUUCGUGGUUUUCUUCCCAGCCUGUCAGAAAUGCAGCCCUGCUCAGACCAAGAGGUUUUUGUGCUCUUUGUGUCCUGAAGGAACCUGUCUUGGUUUGGAAGGACAGGUGCCUGCUAAAGAAUUCAGGAGCCUCCCUGAAAUGGAGAAUGCAAACCCUCCCCACCCCUCUGAAUUGCUGUGAAUUUUAAAUUAAAGGGCUCUCAGGCAAAAAAUGAGGGAGCAGGGAAUAACAGUUCUUUAAUAGGGAAGGGAAGAAAUAAAAGGAUAAAAUAAACAAUGGAAUGCACUGGAGGAACCCUGAGAGAGUCAGAACUCAGCCUGACACGCUGUGGGUCAGGGUGUUGGUAGCAGUCCAGCUGGAAAAGGGGCUGCAGCCCUCCUGGAGUGUCAGGGGUGGUUCUGUUGGAGCAGGGGGUGCUGUAGAGAAGGGUGUAUUCUUCCUCCAAAGAUCCAUGGAAGGAGAAGUAGGGAAAGGAAUCCAGUGGGAAGCUGUGCUGGGGUGUCAGAAUCUCCAGAUUCUAUCCAGGCAGGAAUGCCUGGCUCCUCCCUCUGGGCAGAGCUGUGUGAUAUUCCAGAAUCUCAGAUUCUAUCCAGGUAGGAAUGCCUGGCUCCUCCCUCUGGCAGAGCUGUGUGAUAUUCCAGAAUCUCAGAUUCUAUCCAGUUAGGAAUGCCUGGCUCCUCCCUCUGGGCAGAGCUCUGUGAUAUUCCAGAAUCUCAGAUUCUAUCCAGUUAGGAAUGCCUGGCUCCUCCCUCUGGGCAGAGCUCUGUGAUAUUCCAGAAUCCCCAGAUUCUAUCCAGGUAGGAAUGCCUGGCUCCUCCCUCUGGCAGAGCUGUGUGAUAUUCCAGAAUCCCCAGAUUCUAUCCAGUUAGGAAUGCCUGGCUCCUCCCUCUGGGCAGAGCUCUGUGGUAUUCCAGAAUCCCCAGAUUCUAUCCAGUUAGGAAUGCCUGGCUCCUCCCAUUGGGCAGAGCUGUGUGGUAUUCCAGAAUCUCAGAUUCUAUCCAGUUAGGAAUGCCUGGCUCCUCCCUCUGGACACAGCUCUGUGACAUUCCAGAAUCUCAGAUUCUAUCCAGGUAGGAAUGCCUGGCUCCUCCCUCUGGACACAGCUCUGUGACAUUCCAGAAUCCCCAGAUUCUAUCCAGGUAGGAAUGCCUGGCUCCUCCCUCUGGCAGAGCUGUGUGAUAUUCCAGAAUCUCAGAUUCUAUCCAGGUAGGAAUGCCUGGCUCCUCCCUCUGGGCAGAGCUGUGUGGUAUUCCAGAAUCUCCAGAUUCUAUCCAGUUAGGAAUGCUUGGCUCCUCCCUCUGGCAGAGCUGUGUGAUAUUCCAGAAUCUCAGAUUCUAUCCAGUUAGGAAUGCCUGGCUCCUCCCUCUGGGCAGAGCUGUGUGAUAUUCCAGAAUCCCAGAUUCUAUCCAGUUAGGAAUGCCUGGCUCCUCCCUCUGGCAGAGCUGUGUGAUAUUCCAGAAUCCCAGAUUCUAUCCAGGUAGGAAUGCCUGGCUCCUCCCUUUGGGCAGAGCUGUGUGAUAUUCCAGAAUCCCAGAUUCUAUCCAGUUAGGAAUGCUGGCUCCUCCCUCUGGACACAGCUCUGUGACAUUCCAGAAUCCCCAGGUUGUUCAAAUCUCCUCUCCCUGAGUCUGUUCUGGGUUUCAUUGUCGUCUCUC